GAUGAACGCUGGCGGCGUGCUUAACACAUGCAAGUCGAACGGAAAGGCCCAAGCUUGCUUGGGUGCUCGAGUGGCGAACGGGUGAGUAACACGUGGGUGAUCUGCCCUGCACUUUGGGAUAAGCCUGGGAAACUGGGUCUAAUACCGGAUAGGACCAUCGUUUAGUGUCGGUGGUGGAAAGUUUUUCGGUGUGGGAUGAGCUCGCGGCCUAUCAGCUUGUUGGUGGGGUAAUGGCCUACCAAGGCGUCGACGGGUAGCCGGCCUGAGAGGGUGUACGGCCACAUUGGGACUGAGAUACGGCCCAGACUCCUACGGGAGGCAGCAGUGGGGAAUAUUGCACAAUGGGCGCAAGCCUGAUGCAGCGACGCCGCGUGGGGGAUGACGGCCUUCGGGUUGUAAACUCCUUUCGCCAAGGACGAAGCGUUUUGUGACGGUACUUGGAGAAGAAGCACCGGCUAACUACGUGC
rnacentral:rRNA from 1 species